rnacentral:rRNA from 1 species
UCUGGCGGUCGUAGCGCGGUGGUCCCACCUGACCCCAUGCCGAACUCAGAAGUGAAACGCCGUAGCGCCGAUGGUAGUGUGGGGUCUCCCCAUGCGAGAGUAGGGAACUGCCAGAC